rfam:Rattus norvegicus chromosome 2, whole genome shotgun sequence.
GGGGAUUUAGCUCAGUGGUAGAGCACUUGCCUAGCAAGCGCAAGGCCCUGGGUUCAGUUCCCAGCUCCG